AAUUGCAUUGGUGCCUUGUAAUCAUUAGCUUUUGGCUUUUGAUGAGGUUUUCUCACCUUUUGAGUACUCUUAUUAUAUGACUUCUAGGUAAUAGAAGAUAAUUCUUUAUGGUUCCUAAAAAUAAAGGGGAAAAAGAGACGUAUUACGUAUAUUCGUAGCAUCAUUUCAUUAGUUUUCCUUGAGUGUCAGUUUAUUUUCCUUUUUAUUGUUGAAUUUUUUACUUUUGGGUUGUAUGUCUGAUUUAGUUGAAAGUUUUCACCAAAAUACUCACAUUGAAUCUAAUGCCUUGAUUUGUUUUUUUGCUUGUUUUUUGAUUUAAGGUUAAUCAUUCUUGAAAUUGAAGCAAAAGAAUGUCUUAUUUCAAUUGAGUCAAGAAUCUCUUGGGUUCACUUUGAUAAAAGAAGAGUUUGAGGAUUGAGAGGGUUAUAAUUAUUUGAUUACCAUUAUGUCUAUGGGAAUUUCUGAGGCAGUUUUGCUACUUUUAUCUAGAACUAUUCCCAGUUGUUUUAGUUUUGAUCCAUGUUUUAGCAAAUUGGAUUCAAAUAAUAAAUUAUGAUCUGACUCAUUAGCCUACAUGAAUCGGUCAUUAUUUAAAUUUAUAAGUUGGUAACAGAGAGAUCUUAUUUGUUACUUUUUUUGGUUGUGGUAUCUCCAGUUAAUCCUUCUUUUUUUCUUGAAGGCACUAUUUUAUUCUACCUUACUCUGUGCACGUGAAAUGCUUGCUCAAGAAGAUGGAUCAGCUGAUCUAUUUUGGCACUGAAUAAUUGCCUGCUUGCUCUUUCAUUCCACAUCAUGGAGUAUUAUUUGAUUGAUUUGCGAAAACUGAAAGAGAUUACAGUUGCAAAAUUGAGGAGUACUCAUAUGAUGCAGUUAAUAAGUUCAACAAUUACCCAGAUCAAAUUUCUCCUUGGUUGGUGGAAUGGAUGCCCAAUAAAGGAGGUUAUCUAAUUGGAAACUUACAACCAGCACAAAUGGAUUUUUGAUUUUUUUCUCUAAGAAACAUGUGGUCUGUUGUAAGCAAUCUGAUAACAGUUGAUUAGUCACAUGCCAUACUAGAUCUUAUUGAAGCGAAUUAGAUUUGGAAGCAGAUAUGCUAUUUAAGAUAUGUUAUCCUGCUAUUGAAGGUCAGGAGUAGCAAAUAAUCACUAGUAGUGAUCCUAAGAACACAUAAGAAUCUGCUCUCGUAUUAUUUAUUUAUGAUAUAUUUCUUCAUUAUCUUUAGCAUUUCUCACUAUGUUUCCUUUUCAUGCAGUCCUUGGUCUUACCACAAUGGUGGUUCUUGGCCAACUCUGCUAUGGUAGGUUAGUUUGUUAUGCUUAAAUAUUCUCUCUGCUGUUAAUGUUUUAUUCAUUGCUCCAAAGAACCCUUUGUAGAAUUUAUAUUUAGGUAUAAGUUUCUUAAGUUCACAUACUUGAAUCCAAUAGGAUAUGGUACCUUGUUGAUGUUUUAUAAAAUAAAGUAAUAAUGAAGGAAUCUUGGCAGUGUGGCUUAAGAUUUUAAAAAUGGACUUUUUACAGCUUACUGUUGCACCCAUAAAGAUGAAAAGACCAGAAAUCACUGCUAAAUCUAUUGAAGUUGGGGAAAGACACAUAUCAAGAGACAAUUGACCUUAAUACUAUGACAUGAAAAGAGGAAAGUUCAUCAGGAAGCAAGCACGAUUAUUCCAGACAGGGUCAAUUCCUAGAUACCUUGUGGCUAAGCUUCUACUUGCAGACCCAAGUGCAGUCAAAAUUCUGAUAAUUGAAGAGUAUUAUGAGCUUAUCAAUGCCUUCUCUUGCAUGAUAAGUGCUAACCUCAAGAGAAAGUGUGGUCGGAAGAACUCCCAAAAGACUUGCAUAAUAUAAGAUUCUUAAGCUGCUUUCACAUAAGGAAAGGUAACUUCAAUUUGUGGCUUGACUUACCUAUCUGAACAACUUAAAUGUAUAAUGGUGAUGAUAACAAUGUUUAUUUUUCAUUUUAUUUGGGGGUUAAAGCUUUUAAGCAGUGAUUCAGGUAUCAUUGGAUCUUAAUGUAAAGAUGAUAUGUUGAUUUAGGAUUAGCAUUAGCUUGAAACAUCUUCCUGGAUUGGAGAAUAAACAAAUUGUUUCCUAUUUAUAGACUUUAUAUCAUACAUAUAAUACUAUAGGAGUGAAAGGUGUUCUUCUAAAGAGUUCACUAUAAAUUGAGAAUACUCUUAUAUUAUUUUAACUCUAUUGCUCGAUUAUGAGAACAAUAUUUUCAAUUAACCUCAUGUAUAUGUAUAUAUUUUCAAUUUGUAAAUGAAGAAAUUACAUAGAAAUUUUUAGGUUGUGGGUCAAAUUACACCACUCAUUGAGAAACUAUAUUUUAAAAAUAGAUAUAGUGUAGUAUAAUAUUAGAAGUUAAAAUAUUUGUAUAUGUAUCUAAUUGUCCCAUUUGCUUUAAUUUCUAAACAAGCUUCAUCAUUUUCUUAAGAAAUUUACAUGCUACAUUUGUCCCAUAUUUUAUAAUUUAACAAUAUAUCACAAUUUUAAUAUUUAAACUCUCUUAUUUAUGUUUUUUGAGAACUAAAUUCUAAUUGAUCUUCCUAUAUAUGAAGAAUUAUGAAAUAAAAUUUCAUUCAAUGAAUUCAAGCUAAAAAUAUAAGCGGUUCAAAAAUAAAAUUAAGGAAUAUAUACCUCAUUCAACAUGUAAAGGAUUACUAAUAAUUACAUAAAAAAAGUAAAAAUAGAAUCAAAUGAACAAGAUAGAUUUAAUACUGCUUAAUGUAAGUACAUGUAUAUACUUUUGGACAUAUUUAAUUUAGAUUGUACUUUUAUGUUUUUCAGUUAUUUAAGAUAAAGAGGUAAUUUCAUAGAAAGUCAAAUAUGAGAUUUGAGUUAGUUCGCGGUCUAAAAUUUAGAAUUGUUAGAAGAAUAUGAUCCCUUAUAACGAAUCUACUUUAUAAUUACUACCUAAUUGUGCGUUAUGCAUUAAGAAAAAAAAAAGAGAACUUACCUCUAUAAUGCUUCAAAUCUAACUCUUGUUUUCCUAUUUCAUUUCCUUAUGUUUUUCCUCCUCGUUCUCCCAAUUAUUUUCUAACUCUUCUUAUAUUUCUAGAUCACCUAAAAUUGAUCACAACGUAACACAAUAAUAAAUGUGAGGAUAAGAUUAUGAAGAAAUCAUAUUGUGGUGAAGAAAUUAAUAGAGGUAAUUUUAUAAAAAAAGCUAUCUUGUUAUUUUUUAUCUAAACAUUGCAUCAUAAAUAUAAAUCAUAGCAUUAAAGAAAGAUUGAAAGAAAAGCUGAAAGCAUCAAGAAAGAAAACAAAAAAUAGAAGUGUCAUAAUCUAUUUUUAAACUUUUGCAAUCAAAUAUUUUAGUGUUUUAACAUUAUUUUUCAUUCUAAGGUAUGUAAUCUUUAAAAGAAUUAUUGCAAGAUUAUACUUAAAAGAUAUCUAAAUAUAGAGAAUUGAAUGCUUACUAGGAGUCAAAAUUUAGAAAUUUCUUUCUACAUUAGUCUUUAACAUUUAAAAAUUAAAGAGAUAGAAAUCUUAUUUUCAUUAUUUUGAACUUAUGUAAUCAAAUAUUUUAGAGUUUUAACAUUAUUUUCAUUAUGUAAUCUAUAAAAAAAAUUAUUAUAAGAUUACAUUUAAAGAAUAUCUAAUGUAAGUACACGUAUAUAUUUUCGGACGUAUUUAAUUUAGAUUGUACUUUUAUGUUUUUCUGUUAUUUAGAGUAAAAAAUAAUUUAAUAAAAAGUCAAAUAUGUGAUUUGAGUUAGCUCACGGUCGUUAACUAAAACUUUGGAACUGUUUGAAAAAUUUGAAUCCUUAUAACAAAUUUACUUUAUAAUUACUACCUAAUUAUGCGUUAUGUGUUAAGGGAAUAAAAGAGAACUUACCUUUAUAAUACUUAUAUUCUAAACUCUUAUUUUCCUAUCUCAUUUCUUUAUGUUUUUCCUCCUUCUCCCAAUUAUUUUCUAACUCUUCUUAUAUUUCUAGAUCAGCUAAAAUUGAUCACAUCGUAACACAAUAAUAAAUGUGAGGAUCAGAUUAUGAAGAAAUUAUAUUGUGGUGAAGAAAUAAAUAGAGCUAAUUUUAUAAAGAAACUAUUUUAUCAUUUCCUAUAUGAACAUUGCAUCAUAGAUAUAAAUUAUAUCAUUAAAGAAAUACUGAAAAAAAAACUAAAAACAUCAAGAAAGAAAAAAAAAACUAGAAGUGUUGUAAUUUAUUUUUGAACUUAUGUAAUCAAAUAUUUUAGAGUUUUAAUAUUAUUUUCAUUAUGUUAUCUAUAAAAAAAAUUAUAAGUUUACACUUAAAGAAUAUCUAAAAUUCGAGAAUUGAAUGCUUGUUAGAAGUCAAAGUCUAGAGAUUUAUUUUCUUCAUUAGUCAUUAAAAUUUAAAAUUUUGAUUACUACUUAAGCGAUUAAAGAGAUAAAAAUCUUCUUUUCAAAAAGUAAAUAUAUAAUUAUAUAAUUAUAUUUAGGAAGAUGUUAUUUGUUUCUACCUUAAUUAUUAGAAGUAAAAAUGUUGAUUAUGCCUCAAUUAUCAAAAAAUAUUUUGUAAUCUUAUUUAAUUUAGGGAUUUUGAUGCCAUCCUCAAUGGUUUUUACGGUUCCUCCACUUUUAAAGAGGAUGUCGGGCUACAAGGGAAGAGGAAGAAAAUUCAUAGCUAGGGUACACUAAGAGGAAGUUUAUGUGCAAUUUCUCAAUCAGAUUAAUUAGCUAGCGAGGGAAUUGGGAGCAGAAUAAGGAAGGAAUCUGUCAAUCAGAUUAACACUGUCACUGAGAACAAAGUUAAAUUUGACUCUCACUACUUGAGUAGAAUUUAUCUUUUAAAUUCUUUGAGAUAUUUUUGGGAAGUAAUGAGUUGAUCUUGGAAUAGGGACAUUUUCUUGAAAUCAGAUUAGAACCAGAAGUAAAAACAAAAAAAAAUGGAGAGUGAAAUCUGAGGAUAAAAAGAAGAUCGGAUGAAAUGAUGGAAUUAUCGUGUUGAUAGCUAUGAGGAGAGGACAUAAGAGAUAUGCUAAAAACAUAGGAGGAAAAUUGAAAGGAUGAGAAUGGGAGAGGGAUAGGAAAUUUAAAAAAAAGGGAAAUUUUGGUCUGAAUCUGAUAUCUAUUUGGGAAUUAUUAUUCUGUUAUCUUUUAUAUUUAAUUCUCUUGAUGUCUGUUUCGAAAAUGGUAUUAUUGGUGAGUAAAUAAAAAGAAACGAACUGGAUAGGGAUUGAAAACAAAAUAAAUAUAAAAUUCUAGGAGGCAAAUCCAAGUGAGUGAGACCGUGUUUUCUGUGAGGGUAAAAGUGAUGCUGUUUGGAAGUAGGAAUGGGAUUAACAACGGAACAAACAAACUCUAGGAGUUGAUUUGGGUGAGCUGAGACAAUAAGGAUUCUGACACUUUUUGAUUCAACUGUAGGUAACGAAUAUUGUUAGUCUCGUUCAGAUGCCCCCAUAUUCUUAUAAAACUUUAUUUUCCAUUAAAAUAAAUUAUUUGUAGACUUUGCAAACUAUUUAAGUUUUCUACGCGAGUUAUGUGAACUCAUCAUAUGUGCGUGUGUGCAAUUGUAUAUGAUUGGAGACCUACAUGAUAUUAUCUAUGAUGUAUGUUUAUGUAUUCAUAUUGUUCAUUUUAUAUAUAUACAAAUUUUAUGCAUGAUAGUUAUCGAGUUAUAGGUAUGUGUGAUACAUAUAGAUGUAUGUAUAAUUGUAGGUUGUGUAACGUGUGUAUGUAUGAGUGAAUAACUUGUAUGUGCCUACUUAUAGGAUACACAUGACUUGUGUAAAUAUACAAGUAUAUUCAUGUUAUAUGUGUUGCGUUGAUAAUUGUGAAUAUAAAGGGUAUAUAUUAUGCUUGUUGUAUAAGCAUGUUGAUAUAUAACAUAUAUGAUAUAUAAGUAUGUCCAUGCCUGAGUAGGUCAUUCAAUGAUGAACUUGAUUAGUAAAAGAAUAACAUAAGAAUCUUUAAAAGACGAGAAAAUCCAUUUAAUUAGUAUCACAGAGGGGUGGGUGUGUGUGUAGUCUUUUGGCAUGUGACUGUGGUGAACCCUACAUGUGGAUAUAGAUUUUUCCGGAUGUGGGGAAGUGAUGAGAACUUUGAAUUGUAUAUUGUGUACUGCAAAUUGUGAACUGUAAACUAAAUUGGAAUGUAUUCACGUGGUAGAAGGGAUAUUUACUGCUCUCGUUGAUGUCAGUGAAAACAGCAUCGCACUAUGAAACUCUUAAAAGAUGAAAAAAAUACAAAUUAUAAACCAUAAUAGAAAGGUAACUGAGAAUGAAAGUAUAAUUGAAAAGUGAUAAGUUAAUAAUGUAAGGUGAAAGUCAUAUUGACAUAUGCAAUGAUAAGUAAUUCAGUAAUAAGUGCAAGUGAUUGUCAGAAAAUUCAAGUGCAAGUGCUAUGAAACUAGUGAAUAAUAUCAUUUAUUUAUGUAGAUAUGAUGUUAGAGUAUUUGUGAUGUCUAUGAAAUCAUAUGUGAAAGAGUGAAUUAUUGAGAUAUGUGACAUUAUGGUUACUACAUUGCUUGAGAAUUGGUUUUAAGAACAUAUGCAUAUAUUUUGUAAAUCUUGUGUGGUUGAGUGUUUGCAUGUCUUUGUUAUGGGCACUGUCUUUUUUCCUUACUAAGUUCGUGAAGCUCAUUCCAAUUAAAACCCCCAAUGCAGAUUAGUCAAAAUCAAGAGCAAGUUUAAGGUCGAAGGAAGACUUUGAAGAACCUUUAAUGAUAGUGAAAGUUCAUCUUGUAAAGUCAGUUUAAUUAUAUUAUAGUGAUGUAGUGUAAAAAAUUUUAUAAGCCUUACGAUUUGUAAUUCCAUAUAGAGGAUGAUUGAAUCUUAAGUUUUCGCUUAUUACUGAAUAGUGCUCAUUUCUCAACAGAAAAAGCGGGUCGUUACAAUUGGUAUCAAAGCCCACGUUCCUAGGAACCAUCCCUUAUAUCAUGAGGUUUAGGAUUCUUAUAACGUUUAUAGUCUAAAGAAAUUAGAUAAUACACACCUUAGGAGAUGUUUUGGAACUUCCUCCAAAACAUUUAUGAAUGUGAAGAAGUAGGAUUAUAGUUCCAAAAGCCUAAAAAGAUAGACGUUACAAGAGUUAGAAUGUGAUAAAUCUAGAGAUUAAAGAAUUAGGGCUUUUGUGAUAUCCCAGGUGCCAAUUAAGGCAAAUGGGUGUUAGAUACAAAUUCAGAAUAACGAGUGCAUGAUAAUAUUUAUGCAGCAGAAUCAAACCUUAAAAAAUUCCUUACAAAUAUAUAUAUGUUCCAAAUACAUGCAUUACUGAGGCCAGAAGUGGCAACAAAAUACAAAACAUAAAGGCCACUUCUUUCACUAUGCUACUGGAAUUCAUCAGAAUGCAAGAACAGUCAUGCACUCACACUUAUGCAUCCAUGGGAUCCUCAUAGACUUAUAAGGGUAAGUCUGCCUACGGUUCAUCAUUUUCUUCCUCAUCUAGGAGGAAGAUGGAAUGAAUGUUUUUCAUAUGCUCAGUAAGGACAAUAGUAUUAAAUUAACCUCGUAAGAUUUCAAAAUUUUUUUAUUUUAUCUCACCGUUUAGCUUCGAUUUUACCUAACUCAUCAUUAGAAAAAGAAAACAUUUAUUUGAAUAUCAAAAUAGUACAUUAGCACAUAAAAUCAUAUAUCAUGCCAAAUAAUAGAGAAAAUUAAAUAAAUCAUGAAAUGCACAGAUAUUUCGUGUCAUGCUUCGCGAAGUCGUUACAAACUUCCAUCUCUAAGGGCAGAUAUAGAUUUCGAACUGCCUAAGUAAAAUGACCAGAUCAGAUAGAGAUACAACAAUUUUCUCAUGCCCACUUCUGGCUAGCCAAACCAUGGUAUGAUCUAUGACCAUGACCGUACUAACUAUAGUGGUCCUAAUGGAUAUCUAUAAUCACGACAUUACUUAACCACUAGUGGCCCCUACAGAUAGUGCGAUACUACUCUCGUCAGAAGGCACGCCGUCAUCCACUAAGAGUGGUCCUCUUACGUCUUUCCAGACCAGAUAAAGGAGGAAAAAAUAAAUACCCCGAAGGGCAAGGGGAAACGAUACCCCUCAGAGAUAAAAAGCCUAACAAGAUACUUGAUGUAAUAUGCAUGUUAAUACAGAUACACUUCAGACCAUGCAGGCUUCAUUCCACUUUUCUCUUUUUUAUUUUUUUUUUACUUUUACUAUUAUGAACUACAUGUUACAUAUAUUACAUGCAAAUUCAUCAAAUGUCAGUAAUUCACAUAGCAUGUUUGAAAAUUAGAACAAUUCGACUCAAUUGAACAUAAAGGCAUGUAAAACAGACAAAAUAACAAUCAUAUUAAAUUUUUUUAUCUAAAAAAUACUCCUUAAGAUGUUGAAAGUAAUACUAGAGUUCUUACCGAAACUUUGAUGUUUUCUUCUUCACCAUUUUCCUUUCUUUCUCUUUUUCUCUCACUAAUUUACUAUCUCUCUCUCUUUCUCUCUCUCUCUAAAUCUUUGAGAAAUGGAAGAAGUUGAAGUGCGGAGAGGAACAGAAAGAGAAGGGCAAUUUAUAGAAUAUUUGAACCAUUGGAUUCGCACCAAGUUGCAAAAUUAGAUGAAGAGAGAUGGGGAAAGAUUCUUGGCAUAAAAAAUGAGGGAGGAAAAUUUCCUUCGACCUGCACGAGGCAGUCUAUGAUGGUGCACGACUUUCCUCACGACAAGUAGAGGAGUCUAAGUGGCCUAUGAUCUGCGCGAUUAGAAACCAGAAGGAGAAUCAUAUGACAAAAUGCAUUCAAAGAAGAAGUAGAUCCACUACAGUUGGUCGCACAAUUCUGUUUAUCUCUGGCUUUUUCUGGUGCGAUUUCACCAUAUACGUGCUGGAUCUGAGUGCACAAGGAAUUUUGUGGUGAAUUUCAGUCGAUUCACAUAGUUUUGUGGCGGUGUACGAUGGCCAAAUGGUGCUCUGGUGAUGAUGAUCCAGUAGCAAUUCUCUGCAGUGAUGCAUAGGAAAUCAAGGAUACGCGUAUAGUGGCGUGUGGUGAUUCUGGUGACUAGGAUCGCACUACGAUAAAACUCGAUCUUCUUUUUGUAUUCUAAUUAUUUUUAUAAGUGUCCAUCAUUAACCCACAUAUUUUUUAUUUAUAAAUGAGAGAAUUAUUUAAACAGUAUCGGAUUUAGAAGAGAGCAUAGACCUGAGGUAAUAAGGAUUCCAAAACUUGUCAAUUCAAAUGUAGGUAAGGGAUUAGGUUAGAUUCAAUCAAAAACCCCAUUAUUUUUAUGAAACUUUGUUUUCCAUUAAAAUGAAUUUUUAUAGACUUUACAAACUAUUUAAGUUUUCUAACACGAGUUUUAUGAACUCACUUAUGUGCAUGUGUGCAAUUGUAUAUGAUUGGAGACCUACAUGAUGUUGUGUAUGACAUAUGUUUAUGUAUUCAUAUUGUUACUUGUAUAUAUAUGUAGAUUUUAUGCAUGCUAAGUAUCGAGUUAUAAGUGUGUGUGAUACAUAUAUAUGUAUAAUUGUAGGUUGUGUAACGUGUAUAUAUAUGAGUGAACAACUUGUAUGUGCCUACUUAUAGGAUACACAUAUGAAUUGUGUAAAUAUACAAGUAUAUUCAUGUUAUAUGUGUUACAUGUACAUAUAUAUUUAUUUGAGUUGAUAACUGUGUAUGUAAAGGGUAUAUAUUAUGCUUAUUGUAUAAGCAUGUUGAUGUAUAACAUAUAUGAUAUAUAAGUAGCUCCAUGCCUGAGUCGGUCAUCCAAUGAUGAACUUGAUUAGUAAAAGAAUAACAUAAGAAUCUUUAAAAGAUGAGAAAUCCAUUUAAUUGGUAUCAAUAAAGGGUGGGUGUGUGUGUAGUCUUUUGGCAUGUGACUGUGGUGAACCCUAACUGUGGAUACGAAUUUUUCCGGAUGUGGUGAAGCAAUGAGAACUUUGAAUUGUAUAUUGUGUACUGUAAAUUAUGAACUGUGAAUUAAAUUGGAAUGUAUUCAUAUGGUAGAGGGGAUCCUUACUGCUUUCGUUGAUGCCAGCAAAAACGGCAUCGCACUAUGAAACUCUUAAAAGACAAAAAAAUACAAAUUAUAAACCUUAAUAGAAAGGUAACUGAGAAUGAAAGUAUAACUGAAAAGUGAUAAGUGAACAAUGUAAGGUGAAAGUCAUAUUGACAUAUGCAAAGAUAAGUAAUUCAAUAACAAGUGCAAGUGAUUGUCAGAAAGUACAAGUGCAAGUGCUACGAAACUAGUGAAUAAUAUUGUUUAUUUAUGUAGAUGUGAUGUUAGAGUAUUUAUGAUGUUUAUGAAAUCACAUGUGAAAGAGUGAAUUAUUGAGAUAUGUGAAAUUAUGGUUACUGCAUUGCUUUAGAAUUGGUUUUAAGAAAAUAUGAAUAUGUUUUGUAAAUCUUGUGUGGUUGAGUGUUUGCAUGUCUUUGUUAUGGGCAUUGCCCUUUUUCCUUACUAAGUUCGUGAAUCUCACUCCAAUUAACACCCCCCAAUGCAGAUUAGUCCAAAUCCAGAGUAAGUUUAAGGUCGAAGGAAGACUUUGUAGAACCUUUAGUGACAGUGAAAGUUCAUCUUGUAAAGUUAGUUUAAUUAUAUUAUAGUCAUGUAGUGUAAAGAAUUUUAUAAGCCUCAUAAUUUGUAAUUUCGUAUAAGGAUGAUUGAAUCUUAAGUUUUUGCUUAUUGCUCUGUAAAUUUAUCAAGUUAUGUGUGUGAAAUAGUGCUCCUUUCUCAAUCAGAUAAGGUGAGUAUAGAAAAGGGCUUUUUGACAUGUUAAUUGCAUGAUACAAUAAGCUUGGCUAUAGAUCAUAGAUUUUAUUAAUUUGCACAACUAGAAAAGUAAAAAAGUUAGAAAUCUUUUAAGAAAAUUUGAAGAAAAGUGAAAGUGAAAGAAAAGACAUAAAAGGGAGAGCAAUAGAGAUAUGUAGCAAUAAGAUAGGAUAGAGUAGAGGAGCUAACUAUUUAUAAGGUAAACAUAGGACGAUAUCAUUGAAAAAGAGAAAAUAGCCACUAACAUACAUUAACAUGGGAACAUGCAUUUCAAGCACCAAAAAUGCACCCAUUAAAGUUUGUGACAAUUGUUCAUUUAUCACAAUUAAGCACACACUACAAUGAAGUUUUUAAGAAUUUUCAUAAAUUAUCAUAAACAUAGUGUUUGAAUGGUUACGAUUCUUAAAUUUUUCUUGAAGACAACAAGUCUGAAUCUUAUUAAAAUGUAAAAUUAAUCACUUUUUAGAUGUAAUUAUAUGGAUUAAUGAUGAUUUAUUUAUAAUAUUUGAUUCAAUAGAAUCAAAAGAUUUAACAUAUGAUUGCAUUGGUAGAGAUAUAGUAAUGAAAUUGCAUUUUGUCCUAAAGAGUCAUGAUAUAUCCAAGCGAAAAUAAUGUUUUGUAACAAAUAGAUUCUUUUAAAUAGAACAAUUAAACGAAAAAAUUCAAAUUAAUAUUUUUCUUAAAUUAUUUAUUAACAUAAAUAUUAAAGAAGAAGAAAUAGACUUGGUUUUUAUACUAAAAUAUUAAAAUAUUUAUUAUUUAUUAUUUAAAUAGUAAUUAUGCUAUUGUUCAUGAAUGAUAAAUCUUUUUCCACACAAGAACUCCUAACAAAAGAGGAAAGAGGAAAUGAUUAAUUUCUUUUUAAAUUCUAUUUUGAUUCUCGGUAGCUAACUCAUCAUUAUAUUAAUAACUGAUAUUAUUAAUUACUUUCUUAUAGUAAUUAUUUUUCAUUUAUAAAUUUAAACCAAACAAAAUAUUAAGAUUUUUAUUUCCUUUAUUUUUCAACUUUUAGUUAUCAGAACCAAAAAAUGUAUUUUUUUCUCAUAUAUAUAUUUAGUGAUUCUCAUGUAUGAUAUGACAGUCAUCAUCAUCAUAUCCACUUCCUAUUAUAAAUUCCACCGAAAAUUUUAUAGUGAUUUAGCAUUACAUCAAGUUACAAUAGCUCUUUAAAUUUAUAAAAUGCACACACACACAUAUAUAUUUGUGUGUUUGUGUGAGUAUUUCUCAAGAAGAUAUGAUGAUAUGAAAAGUUAAAUAACUGUAGUUACUUAUAUUAGGUAUGUAUCAAUUAUCAAAGCAUAACAAAUAUAAGUUAACUCCACUUUAUUCACUAAGGUUAUUAAUAAAUUCAUAUUUCAUUUAAUUACGAGAUGAAACGAAUUAGAAAAUAACAAAAAUUGAUAGAAUUUAAAAAUUUUUUAUUUUAAUUUUACAUAAAAUUAAUUUUUAUUUCUUAAAAAUUAUUUUAACAUUUUACAACUUAAUUAAAUAUAAAUUUAUCAAUGUUUAAUAUUUUUUAGAUAAAUCAUUUGUACUUUCACCAUUUUCUAUAAAAGUUGAACUUAUAGUUCGGACUAUGAACUAUACAUUCUAUAUAUUAUUAUUCAUAAGUUGUGUUAUUAUUACUGGAUAAGUAUUAUAUAAUUAAUAAAAUGUAUAAAUUUAUAUUUUUUUAAUAAAUUUUAAGAAUCUCCCUUCUUUCCCGCUUCGGCCGAGAUAUUCGUCUCUUCUUUCCUUCCCCCUAUCCCCAAGAUACUUGCUAGGAUAUUCGCCCAUGAUUCUGUCAGUUUUUCCCCUUUUCAUCCCGUAACCAUCUGCUCGUCAGAGCAAAAAUUCUGUGGGGGAUUUGCACAGAAGGAAUCAACCCUCCUCUCCUGCACUAGAAUGGAUGUGGAGUUUGUAGAAAGAUUCUGAAUGCCCCAACCAAUCGCACAGGAAGUAGGAUAAAGGCUGAUGUUCAUACUUGAAGAUUGCAAAUGUUGAUUCCCCAUUUCUCAGGUUGAACCUCUUUCUUCUGAAUAGAGGCUUUCAGACAUCAAUGGCUAGCCAUAGAAGACAAACGUGUGUCAUAGUCCAUAAAGCCCCCCAACAGGUUCCCAAACUGCCUAGCCAUUGUCUUCGAUACACAACUUGGCGAGAGUGAGUGAAUCUGCACCUAGAAGAGGCUCGUGUCAAUGGCUACUUUCAUUGGAUAUUCUCCCUCCCUAAGGUGGUGCACAACCAAUAAGUUGUUAUUAAAAGUCCAUGGCCCUCUGUUGAGCACUCUUCGGAUAUCCACUUCGUAGAAAAAUCUGUACAAGUAACGGCCAAAAUUGAGAUCUACAAUAUUUACUACCCCUAUCGGCCUCAACAGGUUUGCCAGUGUAUUCUUCAUCAGUUUAAACUUCACAAGUGCUUCUGUCAGGAAUCUUCCCACCAAAUAGAGGUCAUACAACUCUUGUUGUUCAGGGAAAAGUUCAAUUAAGUCCAAGUCCCCAUCCUCUUCCUCUACGAUCGAUAAUGAUGCCAUGCCAUCCACCAUAUCCAUCGGUCACCCUUUGCAUGCCAAUUGAUAGACUAUUGAGAGAAACAACAAUAACUUGUCUAUGGUGCAAAAGGUUUCAUUGUUGGAAACAAUACCUCUUGGAACCAAAAAAAGAAAAUGGAGAAGAGGUCAUCCAACACUAACUUGGUACUAGACUAAGUCAAUUCCUAUUACAUUCUAUUUACUUUUGUAAGUUUCAAAACCUAACCCUCUCAGGGAAAAAGGGGAGGUAAUUAACUCUAUUAAAUGGAAUGAAGGAAUCAUUAGGGUAGAUUCGUUUUUUGUUCUAACAGUUGUUUGAAUAGCCGCAUGUGCUCGUCAAUUGUUUAUUUCAAGAAAGGAAAAAAUUGCCUUUAUGGUUCAUUUGAAAUGGUAAUGGACAUUUGGUAUUCAAUUAUUAAUUUCUCUAAUAUUUGGUAUAAGAGGUAGUAAUCCUCUUUUUAAGGUAUUACUUGGACAUUUAUUGCAUCAAGGUCUUGAUAAUAUUAAGCAGGAAAACUCAUGGGUUGUGACAUCCCAAGUGCUAAUUAAGGCAAAUGGGUAUCAGAUAUAGAUUCAAAAUAAUGAGUGCAUAAUACAAUUUAUGUAGCGGAAUCAGACCAUAAUAAAUUCCUUACAAAUAUAUAUAAUGUUCCAAAUACAUAUAUAAACUGAGGCUAGAAACGACUACAAAAUACAAGACAUAACGACCACUUCUUUCACUAUGCCAUUGAAUCCAUUAGAGUGCGAGAACAGUCAUGCACUCAGAUUUGUGGAUCCAUGGGAUCCUCAUAGACUUCCGAAGGUAGGACUUCCUGCAAUUCCUCAUUUUCUUCCUUAUCUAAAAGGGGCAUGGAAAUAGUGAGUUCCAUAUGUUCAUUUCAAUAUCACUUCAUCUAGGUUUGGAUUUAAGCUAUGAUCUUUUUUUUUCUUGUUUUGGAAUCCUUGAUUUAUGAAUGGUCCAUAUAGUAAGACUUUUGUUAAGUUCUAUCACAAAUUGACUAGUUAUUUAGAUGCUUCUGGUUGUUUCUUACAAAAAAAUUGCAUUGGUGCCUUGUAAUCGUUAGCUUUUGGCUUUUGAUCAGGUUUUUCUCACCUUUUGAGUACUCUUAUUAUAUGACUUCUAGGUAUUAGAAGAUAAUUCUUUAUGGUUCCUAAAAAUAAAGGGGAAAAAGAGACGUAUUAUGUAUAUUCGUAGCAUCAUUUCAUUAGUUUUCCUUGAGUGUCAAAGUUUAUUUUCCUUUUUAUUGUUGAUUUUUUUACUUUUGGGUUGUAUGUCUGAUUUAGUUGAAAGUUUUCACUAAAAUACUCACAUUGAAUCUAAUGCCUUGAUUUGUUUCUUUUGCUUAUUUUCUGAUUUAAGGUUAAUCAUU
rnacentral:lncRNA from 1 species